rnacentral:rRNA from 1 species
GUGUCAGCCGCCGCGGUAAUACGGAGGGUGCGAGCGUUGUCCGGAAUCACUGGGCGUAAAGGGCGCGUAGGCGGCGCGGUAAGCGUGCGGUGAAAGCCCGGGGCUCAACCCCGGGUCGGCCGUGCGGACUGCCGGGCUCGAGCACUGUAGAGGCAGGUGGAAUUCCGGGUGUAGCGGUGGAAUGCGUAGAGAUCCGGAAGAACACCGGUGGCGAAGGCGGCCUGCUGGGCAGUGGCUGACGCUGAGGCGCGACAGCGUGGGGAGCAAACAGGAUUAGAUACCCUUGUAGUCC